AGCGAACGCUGGCGGCAGGCCUAACACAUGCCAGUCGAACGAAGUCUUCGGACUUAGUGGCGGACGGGUGAGUAACACGUGGGAACGUGCCUUUAGGUUCGGAAUAACUCAGGGAAACUUGUGCUAAUACAGAAUGUGCCCUUCGGGGGAAAGAUUUAUCGCCUUUAGAGCGGCCCGCGUCUGAUUAGCUAGUUGGUGAGGUAAAGGCUAACCAAGGCUACGAUCAGUAGCUGGUCUGAGAGGAUGACCAGCCACAUUGGGACUGAGACACGGCCCAAACUCCUACGGGAGGCAGCAGUGGGGAAUCUUGCGCAAUGGGCGAAAGCCUGACGCAGCCAUGCCGCGUGGAUGAUGAAGGUCUUAGGAUUGUAAAAUCCUUUCACCGGUGAAGAUAAUGACUGUAGCCGGAGAAGAAGCCCCGGCUAACUUCGUGCCAGCCGCCGCAGUAAUAC
rnacentral:rRNA from 1 species